rnacentral:rRNA from 1 species
AUUUCGGUAUGUAAAGUUCUUUUAUUUGGGAAGAAAAAACAAAUUGACGGUACCAAAUGAAUAAGCCCCGGCUAACUACGUGCCAGCAGCCGCGGUAAUACGUAGGGGGCAAGCGUUAUCCGGAAUUAUUGGGCGUAAAGGGUGCGUAGGCGGGUUAUCAAGUCUUUGGUUAAAAUGCGGUGCUCAACGCCGUAGUGCCAAAGAAACUGAUAGUCUAGAGUAUGGUAGAAGUGAGUGGAACUCCAUGUGUAGCGGUAAAAUGCGUAAAUAUAUGGAAGAACACCAGUGGCGAAGGCGGCUCACUAGGCCAAUACUGACGCUGAGACACGAAAGCGUGGGGAGCAAACAGGAUUAGAUACCCUGGUAGUCCACGCCCUAAACGAUGAGUACUAAGUGUAGCCAGAAGGCUGUGCUGAAGUUAACGCAUUAAGUACUCCGCCUGAGUAGUACGUACGCAAGUAUGAAACUUAAAGGAAUUGACGGGAUCCCGCACAAGCGGUGGAGCAUGUUGUUUAAUUCGACGAUACGCGAAGAACCUUACCAGGUCUUGACAUACUCGGCAAAUCUAUAGAGAUAUAGAGGAGGUUAACCGGGAUACAGGUGGUGCAUGGUUGUCGUCAGCUCGUGUCGUGAGAUGUUAGGUUAAGUCCUGCAACGAGCGCAACCCUUAUUGCUAGUUACCAUCAUUAAGUUGGGGACUCUAGCGAGACUGCCGGUGAUAAACCGGAGGAAGGCGGGGAUGACGUCAAAUCAUCA